UUUAAGCGUAUAAGUAAGCGGAGGAAAAGGAACUAAAUAGGAUUCCCUCAGUGAUGGCGAAUGAACAGGGAUGAGCUCAGGCUGGAAACCGAUACAUCUGUGUCGGGCUGUAGCCUGCAGGCAUAGCGCUAUCGGCGGCUCGAGCGCAAGCCUCUUGGAAUAGAGCGUGUGCCCGGGUGAGAAUCCUGCAUUUCGCUCGAUGUCCGCUGUCCACAGUGCUUGUCCUGAGAGUCACGCUCCUCGGAAUUGGAGCGUAAAUCAGGUGGUAAGUUUCAUCCAAAGCUAAAUAGAAGCUCGAGACCAAUAGCAAACAAGUACCAUGAGGGAAAGAUGAAAAGGACUUUGGAAAGAGAGUUAAAAGUGUUUGAAAUUGCUGAGAGCGAAGCGAACGGAGCCACAUGUCGUGCUGAGAUUGCUGUGGGUCUUUGUGAGCCUUGAGCAUGUAAGCGCAAGCUGACUGCUUAUGUGUGAGCAUUUGCCCGCAGUGUUUCUCAGCAUGCGAGUCAUUAGCCACAUUUGUUUGAGGAUGGCCUUCAGCUCACAUGGUACACUUGUUAGUGUUCCUCUGUGCGGUGUGGGACUCAGACAGGUGUGGCUUGUUGACCCAGUGGUUUUUUUCGACCCGUCUUGAAACACGGACCAAGGAG
rnacentral:rRNA from 1 species